GGCAAAAGGAAACUCAAGUAGCAGACGUGGGAUCACCACCUUCUGAAGUCUUGUAGUCCCCAAUAAACAAAGGUGGUCUUCAGCCCAGAGCCCUUCAUGGAAUGAGAAAUUAUUUUAAGCUGGAUGUAGCUGUUGAAAGCAAAGAAAAUCCUGCCUUGUCAACAAAGGAUUUACGUAAACAUUUUCAACCUGAUCCUUAGGUCUUGCAGAUCAAGAUAUUAUUAGUACUUUCAAGAACCAUGAGAUGAAUUUCCCUAUGUAAAAGAAUAUACAACCUCGUGAAUAACAACACAGUGGCCAAACUCUUCUGCCUGAAGCCUGUAGAGCCAGCAGGAAGAAAGAAACUAGAAACCGAAAUUUUGAAUUUUCAGUGGUUCUGAUAUGAAAGAAAGCUUUAAAAAAUUAUGAAAACUGGAAAACUGUUUCCCAUCAAUGUGUUAGAAGCUUCACCAUAUACUGUUUCAGCUGCUCUGAGGAACACAGAGCCUUACAGCACUUCAGGUUUUUAGAGUGAAGAGAGACCAUUGUUACUGUCUUCUUCUCCUG